AUGGACCAGGGGACCCAGAUGCACAGGCUGGGGGUGGGAGGUGAGGCAAGAAUCAGAGGAGCCAGUAGGGCUCAUCAGGCUACACAGUGGAUGGCCGCGGGGACCCCAUUCCUCUGGGGACCCAGGGGGCUGUGUAGACCAGGGUUGGGCCACCUGAGCGGGAGGAGGCUGGACGGUUUGUGCCCUCCUCCUGCCGGCUGUCCUGCUGGCACACUAGGCCCCAGCCCCACAGGCCGCAGAAUGCAGAGAGGUCCUCGGGGUGUGGGUGGGCAGCAUGGGCAAGCCCGGGGAGAGGCCGGGGCCAGCCUGGCUGAGCAGGGCACUCAGGUGGUUGUAGAGAUGUGUGCAGCAGCUACGAAGAAGCUUCUAGAAAGGUGCCAUCCAAGGACGAAAAUGGUAAAGUGCACAAAGAUGUUCUCUGCACUCUUAUUCAUUUAUUUAUUUGAGAGAAAGAAAGAGAGAGCAUGUACCCAUACACGCAUGAGCUGGAGGGGCAGAGGGAAAAGGCGAAAGAAUCCCACUCUCCACACUGAGUGCAGAGCCCAACAUGGGGCUUGAUCUCAGGACCCUGAGCCGGAAACACUUAGCCGACUGAGCCACUCAGGCACCCCUGUACUGUUAUUUAUAACAGUGGGAGAAAUAUUCUAAGUGUCCAACAGUAAGGUAACAAAACCCAGACAUCCCCUGGUCAUAUGCUGCUGAACAUCCCCAGCUGUCACCCUGUGAGUAGGUGGAUGGUGCUCACGGAUAUCCUUGGGGCAGCGUGCUAGAUUGCUGGGGUGGCCAUGACCACGCCCCAGGCUGGGGCUUCUAUUUCUCACACUGCUACAGGCUGGAGUCCAAGCCCUGCCAUGGGCGGGGGUUCCUCCUGAGGCCUCUCUCUGGGGUCUGCAGGCGCCACCUUCUCCCUGUGUCCUCGCAUGGCCCUCCCUCUCUAUCUAUGUCCCAACGGCUUACGAGGACACCAGUCAUAAUGGAUCAGGGCCCACCCGAAUGGCCUCAUUUUAACUUCAUCACCUCUUUAAAGGUCCUGUUUCCAAAUAUGGACACAAUUUGGAGGUGCAGGGGAGUUAGGACUUCACCAUAGGAAUUAGGGGGACAUAACUCAGCCUAUGUCAGGCCUCCUCCACCGAACGGAAGCCACUCAACGGGUCGUGUUUCAAACGACCCUGGCACCAAGGUGGCACAGAAGCUUUCGGGUCCCCGUUGCCAUGAGACCCGAGAGUUCAAAGGUCUCAUGAGCUGCCGGGAAGGAGGCCCUGCCUGAAAUGCUCUACCACAAAUGGCAGCCUGGAAGCUGGGCAAAGGGCCUGGGCUGGCACCCGGCUCCAACUUGCAAGAGCUGUGAGGCCUUGGACAGGCCACCCCAUGCCAGCCUCAUGGCUCCUUAAUACCAGACCGCCAGGCCUCCUGGUACAGACCCUUUCAUCUUCGCUGCCCUAUCCAACCCCUGCUUUCACAAGGCGAGAUGGCAAUGACCCAGCCCCAUGCAGAAGAACAAGGGCUCACCAACCCCAGGGGGCUUGCUAAACAGCCUCCUCCAGAAGCUUCAAAGGUG
rnacentral:lncRNA from 12 species